rnacentral:rRNA from 1 species
CCUACGGGUGGCAGCAGUAGGGAAUAUUGCGCAAUGGGGGAAACCCUGAUGCAGCAACGCCGCGUGGAUGAUGAAGGUCUUCGGAUUGUAAAGUUCUUUUGUUAGAGAAGAUAAUGACGGUAUCUAACGAAUAAGCUCCGGCUAACUCCGUGCCAGCAGCCGCGGUAAUACGGAGGGUGCGAGCGUUACGCGGAGUUACUGGGCGUAAAGAGCGCGUAGGCGGGAUAGCAAGUCAGAUGUGAAAUCCUAGGGCUUAACCAUAGAACUGCGUUUGAAACUGUUAUUCUAGAGUGUGGGAGAGGUAGGUGGAAUUCUUGGUGUAGCGGUAAAAUGCGUAGAGAUCAGGAGGAAUACUCGUUGCGAAGGCGGCCUGCUGGAACGUAACUGACGCUGAGGCGCGAAAGCGUGGGUAGCAAACAGGAUUAGAUACCCUUGUAGUC